rnacentral:rRNA from 1 species
UACGUAGGUGGCGAGCGUUGUCCGGAUUUACUGGGCGUAAAGGGAGCGUAGGCGGACUUUUAAGUGAGAUGUGAAAUACUCGGGCUCAACUUGAGUGCUGCAUUUCAAACUGGAAGUCUAGAGUGCAGGAGAGGAGAAUGGAAUUCCUAGCGUAGCGGUGAAAUGCGUAGAGAUUAGGAAGAACACCAGUGGCGAAGGCGAUUCUCUGGACUGUAACUGAUGCUGAGGCUCGAAAGCGUGGGGAGCAAACAGG